AAAAUAGUUCAUGGGAUGGUCUCUCAUUUAAAUCCAACAAAACAAUAUUCUAGUAAGUGUUCUCAGAGAAGAGAAACCAGACAAUCCAAGGAAACUCCACUUGAAUUCCAUUUUAAAUAUGAGCAACACAUAACCAUGCCCAGAAACAACUCCUCUUAAAAUACACAAAGGCAGGCGGGACUCUUAACAAAUGCCUUCAAACAAAGAUUGUUUUGAAGAUCGCAACCAGAAUAACCAAACAAAAGGAACAGCUGAAUAAAAUGAACAAGUGCGGUAGUAGGAAAGCCAGAUUCCCAGAAGCAACCUGACAGGUCCCCCAGUGACUUUAUGAAGCUAUGAAGACAACAGCCAAGCGAACAGCACCCUGGGACUUCCCGAGGAGGAACGAUUCAGAAGGCCUCCACUUCCAUCAGCAUGGAAGGGGGAGGUUAUUAAGGAGAUGACAUUUGCUCAUUUUCACCCGAAAACCAAAGAUUUCCAAGUUUGUAUAUUCGGGCUUGAUGUCCCAAACUCCAAUCUAACAUUUUCAUUUUCACUUGAAAGACUUACUGAUACUUUAAAAAUAAAUUUAAAGCCAAUAUUUUCCUCUCUUUCAUUCCGCACCCCUGUUCGUGUCAGCCCCAUUCUUCCAGGCAUCUCACCAGCACUCAGUCGGUACGCCAACACACUGAUUUUCCUUUACGCAUAAUAUAUGUAAAGUCUCUUCCAUCUGUCCCUGCCUUUCCACUCUCCUGCCACCACCCUAGUCCACGAUCUACGCACCUCAUUAUUACAUAAAGUCAGUAAUAGCACUCUCUGAUCCACUUGUCCUUUUUCCAACUCGUUUCCACUCUGCAGCCAGGUCAAGCAUCCUAAGAUAAAGUUUUGACGUAUUUUCUGCUCCCAAAUACCCACAGAAUAAAAUCCAAAACCCUCAGCGAGACAUUCAAGACCCUUCAUAAUCUAACCCCAAUCUACUGUCCAACCUCAUUUCCCCUACCACCACCCUACGUGGAACAGGCGCAUCAGUCUUCUUACUGCUUUCCUAAUACACCUGUGCUUUCCUAUCUCAGGCCUUUGGCAAUUCAGUCCUUUGAAUCCAUUUUAUAACUCCUUCCAAACCACAGGCGAGCACACGACACACCUCUUCCAUAGCAGGAUAGUCCAAAAUUUUUCUACCAUAACCAAGAAAAUACAUUUCACAUCAAAACCUUCUGAACACCUACAUACACUCACCACCAAAUCAAGUUUCAGGACAUGGUCUUCUCCUACUAUAAGAGCUGCUCUCUGACAGUUUCAAAUCUAUUCUGUUGCACUAAAAAAAAAAAAAAAAA